rnacentral:rRNA from 1 species
GAUGAGCGCUGACAGAAUGCUUAACACAUGCAAGUCUUUGGCGAAGCUGUGCUUGCACAGCCUAGCCAAGGCGGACGGGUGAGUAACGCGUAAGGAACUUGCCCUGCAGUCAGGGAUAACAGACGGAAACGACUGAUAAGACCUGGUAAAGUCAGGCGGACUCAUGUCCAGCCUGAUGAAAAGAGAUGCUGCAGGAGAGCCUUGCGUCCUAUUAGCUUGUUGGUGGGGUAACGGCCCACCAAGGCGAUGAUAGGUAGCCGGCCUGAGAGGGUGGACGGCCACAAGGGGACUGAGAUACGGCCCUUACUCCUACGGGAGGCAGCAGUGGGGAAUAGUGGACAAUGGGGGCAACCCUGAUCCAGCAAUUCUGUGUGCACGAUGAAGGUUUUCGGAUUGUAAAGUGCUUUCAGCAGGGAAGAAAAAAAUGACGGUACCUGCAGAAGAAGCGACGGCUAAAUACGUG